UACGUAGGGCGCAAGCGUUGUCCGGAAUUAUUGGGCGUAAAGAGCUCGUAGGCGGCCUGUUACGUCUGCUGUGAAAUCCCGGGGCUUAACCCCGGGCGUGCAGUGGAUACGGGCAGGCUGGAGGCAGGCAGGGGAGAACGGAAUUCCCGGUGUAGCGGUGAAAUGCGCAGAUAUCGGGAGGAACGCCGGUGGCGAAGGCGGUUCUCUGGGCCUGUACUGACGCUGAGGAGCGAAAGCGUGGGGAGCGAACAGG
rnacentral:rRNA from 1 species